CUCAAGGGGCCAAAGAGCCGCAUGUGGCUCGUGAGCUGAGGUUUGCCGACGACUGCCCUAGGGGACAAUCCAGAGUGUGGAUAUAACCAACUCCAUAGUGUUUUCUCAGGAAUUCUGGGAAGGACCCCUGCCCCAGAUAUAUAUCAAUCUCUCUUCUCUGAUCACUAAUACCUGAAAUUGCAGUCUUAGAAAUUAAUUCUUUUGGAUAGGAACUGUGGCCACUGUUAAGAUGUGGAGGGAAAAGUGGCGACACAGGAGAAUAUCUCACCACCUGGGAGUGUACCUAGGAGAGGACCUGGCUGAAAUGGGAUGGAAGCAGUGCUGGCAAACUUUCCCCUUUUGCGUAAGAAGGGGAGAUGUUGCAUCAGAGUGAAUGCUGGUGACACUGAGAAGCAGGGGGAGGGGCCAAUCUGGCCUGAGGCAGGCCUAGGAGUGCUCUAAUGGGUGACUGCACCAGGAGUCCUUGGAGGAAGGCUGGGGGAGGACUUCCAUGUAGUGUGUGGGGGAGGGCGGCUGUGGCUGGUAGACAAGGAAGCAGGUUGGCUUAAGAAGCUGGAAUUGUGCAGGGGUGGGCGGGGGUGUGGGAGCUAUUCAGGGAGUUGGUCUGGAGCCAGGGGCCAGUCCCAAGGGGGUGAGCUGAGGCUUGAGAGUUCUGGGCCCGAUUCCAGCCCCUGACCUUGAGUUACCAUGCAACUCGGCACUUUUCCUAUAUCAGCCAGACACCCAUCAGGUCUCUUAUCUCGGCUUCCCCGUUUUAUAAAAAAACUGUGUAAAAAUUACUCUCUGGAUUCCUCCUGAUGGACCUGCUGUCUUACAGGCCUUACCACCCCCCAUACAGCAUCAUUCAAGCCUCUUUGGCCUGGUAGAAACUCUUGCCUGCUGCCUUUAAUCCCAGAGGCUGUCCCUCCACAGUGCAGGCUGCCCUGCAUGCGAUGGUCCUGAGGGUAAGGGCCUAAAGGUCUCACUAAGCUCAAAGGCACAGCUGUAAAUAGGUGAAACUGAGAAUAUCAAGGGUGGGAUUGUUAGGACUAGCAGUAACCUUAGAAACCACUUUUGCUAUUCAUUCAUUCAUUCAUUCAUUCAUUCAUUCAUUCAAUUAUUACAUUUGUUGAUAUUCCAAGGUUGUACUAAGUAGCCAGGGGCAAAAUCAAGCCAGAACCCAGGUCUCCUGACUAUUAUUCUAAUACUCUUUCCACCACCUUCUGGAAAGCAUACAGCUCAAGUAUAAGGGCAUAGUAUUUAUUCUCUAUGUAGAGUCAGACUUUACUAUAGUCAGAGUAGCAUCUGGCCUAAUUGGCAAGAUUUGAAGAUCGCUGAUAAACAAUCUCCCACCUCAGCUUGUUCCCUUCCCACAACUCAUACCUAAAAUUAUACCACCGAAUGUAAUCUUUGGAUUAAAACUCCUGUGAUUUGACAGCAAAACCUGUUAAGCCAUUACCCGCCAUUUACACAAAAACAUUUCUUUGAUUUGUCCAUUAGGCCAGGUACGGUUGUCUUGGGGGAGGUACACUGUGAGUCACCUCAAAGGAGGUAUGGCUAGGAAGGUCAGGGAGCCCUCCAGAUAGUGAGGGGUCCAUGUUACUCCAGGCAGCAAGAGGGCAGAGGUUCCCUGAGGGGACAGGCAGGAGGAAGGUUCCUGAAAAGGAAGCAGGAAGGUUUUGAAGACAGACUCCUACUUCACAGUGUAGUCUUCUGGCCAGCCCUGCACCUACACAGUGAUGCUCAGUGACAUUUUGUUUCAAAAUAUGUGUUUACAUUUGGUAUUUCCUUAUGCUGAUUAUACUGAGUCUUUUGUCUCUUCCACAGCCUGGUGACUGAGUAGUUUGUACUUAGAUUUCUGAGGGCCUUCACCGAGUCUGGUCAAAUAGUUGUCUUUAAAUAGUCUGCCAGUCCCUGAAUUGAAAUGCAGUUCUGUCCCAUCUUGGCAUGCUAGAAGGGGCUCCCUUCAGGAAAUUGCAAUGGAAAUCAUUUAGUCAAUGGAAAGAAUAGCCCCUACUGCAGAGCUUCCCUGCCUGACCCUGAUAAGGGCCUCUUUCCAAUUCCCCUGUAGAUAUGACAAAGGGAGCUCAGUGGGAAGAGAUAUUCAUUCCUAGAACACAGCCCUACCUGGAAAUCUCAAAACCAAAUGAAAUG